rnacentral:rRNA from 1 species
AGUGAACGCUGGCGGUAGGCCUAACACAUGCAAGUCGAACGGCAGCACAGUAAGAGCUUGCUCUUACGGGUGGCGAGUGGCGGACGGGUGAGGAAUACAUCGGAAUCUACUUUUUCGUGGGGGAUGACGUAGGGAAACUUACGCUAAUACCGCAUACGACCUACGGGUGAAAGCAGGGGAUCUUCGGACCUUGCGCGAUUGAAUGAGCCGAUGUCGGAUUAGCUAGUUGGCGGGGUAAAGGCCCACCAAGGCGACGAUCCGUAGCUGGUCUGAGAGGAUGAUCAGCCACACUGGAGCUGAGACACGGUCCAGACUCCUACGGGAGGCAGCAGUGGGGAAUAUUGGACAAUGGGCGCAAGCCUGAUCCAGCCAUACCGCGUGGGUGAAGAAGGCCUUCGGGUUGUAAAGCCCUUUUGUUGGGAAAGAAAAGCAGCAGGUUAAUACCCCGCUGUUCUGACGGUACCCAAAGAAUAAGCACCGACUAACUUCGUG